ACUGAUUGGAUGCGAGGGCUUCACCGCCUAUCAAGUCCAGACAAACUCCGAAUGCGUAUUAUAUGAUUCCACGGAGUGAGGGCAUGGGUGCUAAGGUCCAUGUCCGAGAGGAGAAGAAUCCAGACCACCUGCUAAGGUCCCGAAAUAAUGCUUAAGUUGAGAAAACGAAGUCAGAUUGCAAAGACAGCUAGGAUGUUGGCGUUGAAGCAGCCAUUCAUUUAAAGAGUGCGUAACAGCUCACUAGUCGAGGAAUUUGGCAUGGAUAAUAAUCGGGCAUAAAGCAUUUACCGAAGCAGUGGAAUCAGCAAUGAUUGGUAGGGGAGCAUUCCGGCGGCGUCGAAGAUGGAGGAUGACCUCUGUUGGAGCUUCCGGAAAAGCAAAUGUAGGUAUAAGUAACGAUAAAGGAGGUGGGAAACCUCCUCGCCGAAAGACUAAGGUUUCCUGAUCAACGUUAAUCGGAUCAGGGUAAGUCGGGACCUAAGGAUAAGCCGAACGGCGAGGCCGAUGGAAGAAACGGUUAAUAUUCCGUUACUACUUUAAUGAGUGACGUGGAGACGGAGAAGUGACAGUCCUGCCGGCUGACGGAAUAGCCGGUUGAAGGGUGUAGGAGUAGAUCCUUGCAGGCAAAUCCACAAGGAGAUCCGAACCUGAGAGUAUGGAGCGCACCCCGGUGCAAUCCAAAAUGGGCGUAAUCAGGCUCCCGAGAAAAUCCGCUAAACCUAAUCAUUGAAGUACCCGUACCACAAACGGACACACGUAGUUGGGUUGAAAAUACUGAGGCGCUCGAGUGAGUCACGGUUAAGGAACUAGGCAAAAUGGUCCUGUAACUUCGGGAUAAAGGACGCCAAUCGUAAGAUUGGCCGCAGAGAAUAGGCCCAGGCGACUGUUUAACAAAAACACAUGGCUGUGCGAAAUAGUAACAUGAAGUAUACAGCCUGACACCUGCCCGGUGCUGGAAGGUUAAGAGGAGGACUCAGCGCAAGCGAAGGUCUGAAUUGAAGCCCCAGUAAACGGCGGCCGUAACUAUAACGGGCCUAAGGUAGCGAAAUUCCUUGUCGGGUAAGUUCCGACCUGCACGAAUGGUGUAACGAUCUGGGCACUGUCUCAACCGUGAGCUCGGUGAAAUUGUAGUAUCGGUGAAGAUGCCGAUUACCCGCGAUGGGACGAAAAGACCCCGUGAACCUUUACUAUAGCUUUACAUUGAAUUUGGGCAAUUGAUGUGUAGGAUAGGCCGGAGGCAGAGAAGCCGGUACGCCAGUAUUGGUGGAGCCGCCGUUGAAAUACGGCCCUUUGAUUGUUUGAGUUCUAACUUGCGUGAUGCGAGGACACUGUAUGGUGGGUAGUUUGACUGGGG
rnacentral:rRNA from 1 species